rnacentral:tRNA from 1 species
GUGGCUCAGUGGUUGAGCACCAGUUUGUCAUGCUCAAGGUCCUGGGUUCGAUCUCCCAGC